CUUUAUUGUCAGCAACACCCUUUGUUGAUUCUUCUGUAAUCAUGUUCUCGGCUUAGUGUAAAUAUUAAUUUGACGAUUUGAACUAUCUUUUAAAUAUUAAUAUUUACACAUCAGAAGCAAAGAGAUUUUUUUUUUGCUUCAAUCGCAAAAUUCUCAUUUUUUUUUGCUCCCGUUGAUUAACCAAUCUCCAAUCGAAGCUUGUGGUUAAACAAUCUUCAGUCGGUUAUGUUGAUUAAACAAUCAGAGCUUCUGAUCAAUCGACGACAUCAGUGGAUAUGAAACCGUUGAGAGUCUUCUCCAUCAAAUCGAAGCUUUACCUUCACUGCUAUUGGACAAUUUGAUUAACCAAUCUCCAUCUCAUGUGGAGAGGGAAAUGGCAGGCUGGAAUCAGAUGUGCCAAAGCGGAUUGGCCAUUGUCGACGUUAAGAGGGAAACCGGCUGGAAUCAGGCUGGAAUCAAAUGAUGUUUGGAGUUGUGGUUCGUGCAUCUGUCUUCAAUAGAAUAAUCCAACGUAUUUGAUGUUGCAGGUUGUAGCUGAAGCAGCUACAGACAUAAUAAUCUGGAAAGAAUUUGCAAUGGGAGCUACUAGAAGUACAAGUUAUCAUGAUCUUGGGAUAAUGCUUGUGAAGCUUCAUAAUGAUUUUGCAACAAUACAUGGAUCCGGUUUGGCUUGAGAACUCAUUUCCUUUGUUGGUACAAAAAUGUAACAAUGCAGUGAAUGCAGAGAGUAUUGAAUUGCUGAAUGAGGUAAUGGCUUCACAAGAGGCUGAUUGUGUAUUGUUCAGACAUUUUUAACUCGGAUGUCCAGGCUAGCCGUAAAAGACCAAAACUUGAGAUACGACGUGCAGAGGCAACAAAUGCAUCACAGACUAUUACUGAAGCUUCACCACUAGAAUUGACUGCAAUUGAUUCGGAACCUUUUGAUUCAUAUUCUUUGCAUUUACUUAAUCUAUGUAAAUGCCCAUAACAUGCCGUUGCCAACAAUUUGAUUAAAUUUAUUUUUUAAAAAUAAAGAACUCCAAUAAGAGUUUAACA